rnacentral:rRNA from 1 species
AUUGAACGCUGGCGGCAUGCUUUACACAUGCAAGUCGAACGGCAGCGAGGAGAAGCUUGCUUCUCUGUCGGCGAGUGGCGCACGGGUGAGUAUAGCAUCUGAACGUGCCAAGUAGUGGGGGAUAACCAAACGAAAGUUUGGCUAAUACCGCGUAAGCUCUAAGGAGGAAAGUAGGGGACUUAAAUAAGGCCUUACGCUAUUUUAUCGGCCGAUGUCGGAUUAGCUAGUUGGUGGGGUAAUGGCUCACCAAGGCAAUGAUCCGUAGCGGGUCUGAGAGGACGAUCCGCCACACUGGGACUGAGACACGGCCCAGACUCCUACGGGAGGCAGCAGUGGGGAAUUUUGGACAAUGGGGGAAACCCUGAUCCAGCCAUGCCGCGUGUAUGAAGAAGGCCUUAGGGUUGUAAAGUACUUUUGUUAGGGAAGAAAAGCUAGUUUUUAAUAAAAAUUAGUGAUGACGGUACCUAAAGAAUAAGCACCGGCUAACUACGUG